rnacentral:rRNA from 1 species
GGAAUAUUGGACAAUGGGCGAAAGCCUGAUCCAGCAAUGCCGCGUGAGUGAUGAAGGCCUUAGGGUUGUAAAGCUCUUUCACCGGUGAAGAUAAUGACGGUAACCGGAGAAGAAGCCCCGGCUAACUUCGUGCCCGCAGCCGCGGUAAUACGAAGGGGGCUAGCGUUGUUCGGAAUUACUGGGCGUAAAGCGCACGUAGGCGGAUUGUUAAGUUAGAGGUGAAAUCCCGGGGCUCAACUCCGGAACUGCCUUUAAUACUGGCAAUCUUGAGUCCGAGAGAGGUGAGUGGAACUCCUAGUGUAGAGGUGGAAUUCGUAGAUAUUAGGAAGAACACCAGUGGCGAAGGCGGCUCACUGGCUCGGUACUGACGCUGAGGUGCGAAAGCGUGGGGAGCAAA